rnacentral:rRNA from 1 species
GGGUUGUGAGGUUAAGCGACUAAGCGUACACGGUGGAUGCCCUGGCAGUCAGAGGCGAUGAAGGGCGUGCUAAUCUGCGAUAAGCGCCGGUAAGGUGAUAUGAACCGUUAUAACCGGCGAUACCCGAAUGGGGAAACCCAGUGUGAUUCGUCACACUAUCAUUAACUGAAUCCAUAGGUUAAUGAGGCGAACCGGGGGAACUGAAACAUCUAAGUACCCCGAGGAAAAGAAAUCAACCGAGAUUCCCCCAGUAGCGGCGAGCGAACGGGGAGGAGCCCAGAGCCUGAAUCAGCAUGUGUGUUAGUGGAAGCGUCUGGAAAGGCGCGCGAUACAGGGUGACAGCCCCGUACACAAAAGCGCAUGUGCUGUGAGCUCGAUGAGUAGGGCGGGACACGUGGUAUCCUGUCUGAAUAUGGGGCGACCAUC